CGCCUGAUAAAAAGAGGAGCGACGCAGCAUCAACGACACAGUGGAAGGAUCGAAGGUUGGUAGAUGGAGAAGCUGGCGUUAUCAUGUGAGUUCUCUACAUGCUCUUUCAUGAGUUUUCUAGAUGAAACGAGUUGCUUUUAACUAAUCAUGCAUAUAUUAUUGUCUCAGUUCUCUCUCUGUGGAUAAAGGCUUGUAAAGGUAAAUAAAGGAAAGAUAUGGCCAUGGAAAGGAAGUCCCUACAAAUGUUUCAGAUAGGUUUAUUGACUUCAUCCCAAGAAUAUUACCAGGAUAAUUUUUUUUAUAUAGAAAAUUGUAGUGCAAUUGGAUUGUGAUUUAGUAUAUGCUAAUUUUGAGCAGGAAAUAUGUAUUACUAGAGAUGUAUGUAUGCAUACCUCCUCCUGAAGCUGGUUUAGUGAACCCGUCGUUAGUUGUGUCUGCAAGAUCACAAAGUUGAUGGAUUAGCAAUAGGGUUGAAUCAUCACAGCAGAUGUGAAGCAAGCAAUUUAGAUGUCUUUGGUUAUAGUAAGCCUCCAAAAUAAUCUAUCAGGUUCAAAUGAUUGAACCGUGUGCAUGCAUCAAAGAAACAGCUGAGUUUGAUAUGAUAGUAGUUGCUAGCACUGUAAUUUUAGUUGACAUGAUUAUACUAGAGCAAACGUGAUUUAACAUUUUUUAUUCGGAGACAGAUGGAUACAAAUGUUAUGCCGGUGUUGUAAGAGUUGGAUAGUUCUUAACCUUUCUUGAUCUUGUCCAUUGUAGUGCGUCAGACAAAUCUUUCUCCAAUUUACAAAGGUUAUCAGCAUUUAAUUGUGAGAAAAUUGUUUUGCGAAGUCUGCAAAGAAAAAAAAUAAUCAGUGGAAGCUUUAUGAGAGACUCUUGUUUUAGGUAUGAUAAAAGUCAGAUUAUAACCUUUUACCGAUUUCCUGUAAUUUCAUAUCAGCCGCUGGAUGACCAAAUUCUUCAUGUUUCUGUAAAAAUCAUGGUACAAGUUACUUCAAUAAUAUUAACAAGAAAUAUAACAAGUUUCCUUGAUAUAAAGUAAUCAACAUCUUUCAGCAGAAAAGAUGCAUAAGAAAGUGAAAUCAAGGAUCGAUUCAAUUGUUUAGUUAAGUCCGAAGGCAUAUAUUUGUAAUGUUUGCUUGAUCAUUGUUGUGAUACACAUCCAUGAGUACAUGUAUGAUCAUUGUUUGGAUGUAGGAAAAAUAUCCUAAGAAAGAGUACGAGUCCAUUAGUGCCAGAAUCAUGGAAGAUGCUACAUCGGUUGGAACAGGGAAAGGGUUUUGAUGAUGGACCUUGUAUAACUUGAAUUUGAUUUCUUAGAGAGUCUUCGUACGAAAUAUAGCCAACAUAAAGGCAUAGUAUGAAAGAACCGGCAAGAAAUGGAUUUAUUCCUUUAAAACAUGUUCUAGAAAUUAAAGACCAUCUCUGUUGCCAAAGUUAUUGCUCGAAUGGUUUUGAAUAUGGAGCAAAACUUGGACUUCUUUUUUUCGCUUCAUUUUAAUUUGCAAUCAGGGAAAAUAAAUCAUAUUUGAGAAGUGAUCGAGCAACAAAAAAAUACAUGAAAAUAUAACAAAGAACUGAUUAACCUCUGGAGAAGAAAAAAAGAAAAAAAGAAGAGAACAAAUAAGGGACAUUACAAUUAUAUUUAUAGUUUUAGGUGAAAACUAUGAGAUAGAGUGUUAAGCCAGACAUAAGCUCACCAUAGAACUUUUGCUCUCACAACUUAUUUAACUUUAGCCUAACCCGUAAUCUUGUCAAGGAUAUAAGUGGCAUGUUUAAGGUCUAGAUGUAGUUCAAGUCUCUCAUGUAUACUGUGAAUGUAACAUGGCUGCUUUCGAAGGUUGUUUUGUCUGGAAGAGUUGUUAUCUUAAUAAUCCGAUUAGAAGUUUGAUGUUUGAUGCCGAAGGCGUAGGUGUAACUUCUUUUUGAAGUAAUAUGAUUUCUUUUCUAUUUAAAAAAAACAAGUUUCAGAAUAAUAUAUCUUGACAAUACAUGCCAACAGUACAAGAAAAUAAUAGAUCAAUUUCUAAGAACAGGUAAUAUGAAAAAAUGAUAGCAAGAAAAGAAACAUAUCAUUUAUAAAGGCAUAACAUGUUGCACUUCAGAUUGCACCAUUGAGUCCGGUUAGAAUAAAUACUAAAUUAGAAACAUUUAUUAUGCAUGACCAAAAAAAAUAAGGAGAAUUGGCAUACGCCAAUAUCAAGUCUCUUAAUGAUGUGACUUAGACUAAUUUCAGGAGAAGGAAGAAAUCAUCCAUCGAUGAGCAGCGCAUAUUUGAUGCAAGUUCACUAGGACUACAUAUUAACAAUUCAUGAUACAUGCAUAAUUAGAAAUAUAAAUCAGGACAAACAUAUAGACAAAGACCGAAGAGCAUAUUCUGGUUGGAAAUGCUUUGUAAUGACACUUCAUAAAUAGGUCGAGGUAAUUGAAAGAAACCAAAAUUCCUAGUAGAUCAAUCUAUUGAAAGAGGUGGAACUAAUAAAAACAAAAACGCCCUCUCUCUUUAAACUAUCCUUGUCAAGUGGUGGUGAUUCACAACCAUGUCUCAAUUCCAUUAAGAUUCCUUUUUGCCAUUUUAUAUAUCAAGACAAAUUGUAAUGUGUCAUGCAUGAGUGAUACAAAGUUGAGACAGUCUUCAGAUUUGUGUAUGUAUAUAUUUGUGAUGCAAGAGUAAUACAACUUGUCUUUAUUCAACUUGCCCUGUAAGUAAAAUUAUAAGAUGGCCUUUUAUUGAUCUAGAUUCCUAGAAUUCCUAGAAUCAUCCUGAUUAGUUGAAGAUGGUGAUUUUAAGAUUACUAUCGAUUUUUGAAAAGAAAAAAAAAGAGAAGAAACUCUCUGUUGCACUCAUACACACCUGUAUACAUUAUUUCAUGAUGCUUCAGGAUCAAACAUGGCUUUUUAAGUGAUGAUAAACUCCUUUCCUAUUCCUAAUUAGUAAUUUGUACCGAGCCUAGUCUUACUGGUUCUAUUGUGUCUUUUAGACAACGAGUGAAACAAACUUUUUGAAACACCUGACACUUUGAAUGGAGUUGUGCAAUGCAUCAGAUGUUGAUGACAUUUAUCUCAAAUUAGGAACCUGAUGAGUGAUAUGUGCAACCACUAACUCGAGAACCAAGUUGUGAACUUGACCAAUUAAUUGUCAAAGUCAUGUUGAUAUGCCAAAUACUGAGCACCUGCCAGUUACAUGUAUCGCAUACAUAAAAAAUUGGUGGCACACACUGUGUUAUGCCCCCAUAAAAAAUAGCAUGCCAAAUACAUUGUUUUGAUAGAUCAGGUCUGGAUAAAGAAAAAAAUGUCAGGUUGGUAAUUUUUCUACUUUACAUUUAAACAUUUCUUAUGAACUCAUGCUUUAGUUGAAGGCUGAUAUAAUUUCUAGAAAUAUGAUAGACAAUGAAACAUGUGAAAAAGUUUCACCUGCAUAUUGUCAUCAGACUUGUUCACAUCUCCUGCUGCAUUCGAAAAUUUCCGGUAACGUUCUACUGUUUUCUCUAUGCUGAAUUCAACAUAAAAUGGUUAGUCUCCAAUUGUACUGCCCAAGAAAACUGUUGUGGCAACUGGCAACUGGCAACAAACAAGUUAUAUGGUUCAUCCUCACUCUCAAGAGAGAUAAGUACAGAUGUGUAAUAAAAUCUAAGCAUUUGAAUGACCAAGUAGUAACAUUGUUUCCUUUGCAAGAUUUCCAAGGAUUCAAGGAGAGUAUGUGGAUAUGCAUGAAGAGAGGUAUGUUAUGUGGACAUUGUCGAGGUUUUAUGAUCUCUGGAAUAAUAACAUUCAAUACUGCAAGUAACAUUAGUUUGUUACACUGCUAUUCAUAUUAACACUUUUUUUUUUCUUGAUCAGGGUAUGAUGAGUGAAGGCCAUUUGCCAUGACAAAAUAAGGGUGUAUCAUUCAAAUAAUUUAAAGAAUGAUCAAGAAGCAGAUAAAUUCAUCAUCAGACAAGGGUGAAUAUAUUUAGAUAUACAAAGUUGUGAAAGAAAGGCAAUAAAAUGUAGUGUGUUAGACGCAAGAAGAAAGAACAGUCAUCUGGCCCAAACAAAAAGCUAAAUGCUAACAGGCCAAAUCACAGCAAAAAUUUCAGGAGGACAGCUACAAAUUAUAUUUCGUCGUAUAACAUUCCAACAAGAUAAAGGUAUGGGGAACCAUAUAGAACACUUUGUUCAUGUUUGUUAUUUUCUAUAUCUAUAUAUUUGUUUUUUCCAUUUCCUGUAUUGCAAGUUCUUAGUAAUUGUUUUUUCCUGCAUAAACUAUGUAAACUUUAUAUCUGUUAAAACUAUCUAACCUAUUGACUUACUUGACACUAAACUUAGGAAACAGCAUCACAUUUCAUUUUAUUGAUCCUCUCAGGAUUAUUUGCUACUAUGUUGCUUUUCUGAAAUACUUGAACCUUUAAUAUGUCAAAAUACUACAUAAAGGGAUGAAAUAUGAAUUAGCAUUAUAUCCUACCUGUUCUACCUCUUUAUAAUCCUCAUGCUAAGCAGUGACAUGCUUCAUCAUUAUCAUGUUUGAUGAUAUUAGUCUAUAUAUGCCAAAGUAUCCAUUUUAUCUAUAGGAACCAUUUUACAGUAGUUUUAGUCUUCUCUUAUUUUAUAGUUAAUGGCUUGAUGUUUCUUCUCUUUGUAGAAUGUCAUAAUUUACAAUGAGCAAUGUCUAAUCGGUC
rnacentral:lncRNA from 1 species